rnacentral:lncRNA from 13 species
AUGGAAAUGUUCCCUUACAUUUCCUGGGGUGUUUUUAGGAAGGGAUGCAUCCGAGGGUUCAUGGCAAACGGCAAUCCAUGUAAAUCAUGGAGAAAAGGAGUGGGAAACCAAGAAAACAUUGAAAUUAGCAAAAAUAUAACAACAUCUAUUUUAGUCUUGCUGGCACCGACGCCUGGCAGCUGCGCUACAGUACUGUUCAGGCUUUGGUGUAAGUAUGCUGAGGGCUCAGCGGAGCCGUGUUGCAGGAAGGGCUAA